CACAGAGAGCUUGCUCUCGGGUGACGAGUGGCCGACGUGUGAGUAAUGUCUGGGAAACUGCCUGAUGGAGGGGGAUAACUACUGGAAACGGUAGCUAAUACCGCAUAACGUCGCAAGACCAAAGAGGGGGACCUUCGGGCCUCUUGCCAUCAGAUGUGCCCAGAUGGGAUUAGCUAGUAGGUGGGGUAACGGCUCACCUAGGCGACGAUCCCUAGCUGGUCUGAGAGGAUGACCAGCCACACUGGAACUGAGACACGGUCCAGACUCCUACGGGAGGCAGCAGUGGGGAAUAUUGCACAAUGGGCGCAAGCCUGAUGCAGCCAUGCGGCGUGUAUGAAGAAGGCCUUCGGGUUGUAAAGUACUUUCAGCGGGGAGGAAGGCGUUAAGUUUAAUAACCUUAUCGAUUGACGUUACCCGCAGAAGAAGCACCGGCUAACUCCGUGCCAGCAGCCGCG
rnacentral:rRNA from 1 species